UACGGGGGGAGCAAGCGUUGUUCGGAUUUACUGGGCGUAAAGGGCGCGUAGGCGGUCAGCACAAGUCAGUUGUGAAAUCUCCGGGCUUAACUCGGAAAGGUCAACUGAUACUGUGCGACUAGAGUGCAGAAGGGGCAACUGGAAUUCUCGGUGUAGCGGUGAAAUGCGUAGAUAUCAGGAAGAACACCCGUGGCUAAGGCGGCUCUCUAGUACGGUACUGACGCUGAGACGCGAAAGCGUAGGGAGCGAACAGG
rnacentral:rRNA from 1 species